UACGGAGGAUCCGAGCGUUAUCCGGAUUUAUUGGGUUUAAAGGGUGCGCAGGCGGGAGAUUAAGUCGGCGGUGAAAUUUUGCAGCUUAACUGUAACAGUGCCGUUGAUACUGGGGAGCUAGGAUUUGGUUGCUGUGGGUGGAAUGUGUGGUGUAGCGGUGAAAUGCUUAGAGAUCACACAGAAUAUCGAUUGCGAAGGCAGCUCACAAAGCCAAGAUUGACGCUGAGGCACGAAAGUGUGGGGAUCAAACAGGAUUAGA
rnacentral:rRNA from 1 species